rnacentral:ncRNA from 1 species
GUCGGGAGGGCAGCAGUUAUACAAUACCCUUGGGGAAAGCUGCUCGCGGUUUCUUACAGCCGUUUCGAACCUCCCGACACCAUUUU